rnacentral:rRNA from 1 species
GUGGGGAAUAUUGGACAAUGGGGGGAACCCUGAUCCAGCCAUGCCGCGUGUGUGAAGAAGGCCUUUUGGUUGUAAAGCACUUUAAGUGGGGAGGAGGCUUACCUGGUUAAUACCUGGGCUAAGUGGACGUUACCCACAGAAUAAGCACCGGCUAACUCUGUGCCAGCAGCCGCGGUAAUACAGAGGGUGCGAGCGUUAAUCGGAUUUACUGGGCGUAAAGCGCGCGUAGGUGGUUAAUUAAGUCAAAUGUGAAAUCCCAGAGCUUAACUUGGGAAUUGCAUUCGAUACUGGUUGGCUAGAGUAUGGGAGAGGAUAGUAGAAUUCCAGGUGUAGCGGUGAAAUGCGUAGAGAUCUGGAGGAAUACCGAUGGCGAAGGCAGCCAUCUGGCCUAAUACUGACACUGAGGUGCGAAAGCAUGGGGAGCAAACAGGAUUAGAAACCCGGGUAGUCC